GAUGAACGCUAGCUACAGGCUUAACACAUGCAAGUCGAGGGGUAACGAGAGGAAAGCUUGCUUUCCUUGUCGACGACCGGCGCACGGGUGAGUAACGCGUAUCCAACCUGCCCCCAACUAGGGAAUAACCUUGCGAAAGUAAGACUAAUACCCUAUAAUUUCCUCAGAUGUCAUCUGACGAGGAAUAAAGAUUUAUCGGUUGUGGAUGGGGAUGCGUCUGAUUAGCUGGUUGGCGGGGUAACGGCCCACCAAGGCAACGAUCAGUAGGGGUUUUGAGAGGAAGGUCCCCCACAUUGGAACUGGGACACGGUCCAAACUCCUACGGGAGGCAGCAGUGAGGAAUAUUGGUCAAUGGGCGGAAGCCUGAACCAGCCAAGUAGGGUGCAGGAUGACGGCCCUAUGGGUUGUAAACUGCUUUUAUACAGGAAUAAAGUUAGCCACGUGUGGUUAUUUGUAGGUACUGUACGAAUAAGGACCGGCUAAUUCCGUGCCAGCCGCCGCCGUAA
rnacentral:rRNA from 1 species